CGGUGGUUUUGGCGAGGGGGAAACACUCGGUCCCAUUCCGAACCCGGAAGUUAAGCCUCUCAGCGCCGAUGGUACUGCAUGGGAGACUGUGUGGGAGAGUAGGACACCGCCGGACC
rnacentral:rRNA from 1 species